AGUGUUGGAACAAUUAUAGACCUUAAGUCUUAGGAAACAGAAGGCAAUUUUCUAUUUUGAGACCCUGUAGAACACAGACAAGCAUGUGAACUAAAGAAAUGUUUUUAGAGGCUCAAGGAUGUGCUGUCUCUUUUAGAGUAAGGCUCUAGGUUUGGAGAGCUGUUUGGGUGUUGCUACCACAUAAAGAAAAUCCCCUGAGCUCCCUGCACUGCUCCAGUGAUAAAAUCCCUGAAUAACCAAAUUCACACAUAGCAGGGAAACGAGAGCACCCAACAGAGCAGCUGUCACAUCACAGGACUCCUUGGGUUUGUAUGAAAACAAGGGCCCUUAGUCAUAUGUGAUGUAAAAUUUUCCAUCAGGUUUUCAGUUCUGAUUUCAGGUUACUGAAGCAGCAGAAACACAAUACCUUGGCAUUAAUCACCGAGUGGAACUCCACAAUGAGCUUGGUAAUACCGAGAUUUUCGUGACUCCAGGCAUGGAGCUGUACACCAGAUUGCAUCCCAGUGCACCUCCCACCAGAUGAUGCUGGCCUGAUGAGUCCUACCCUCACUUCUUUAGUGAAUAAAAUCCAGGAAAUUUGACUUUAUACUGGAUUGUUUUUCUGAAUCUGCAGAUCAUAAAGUACAGCUGAGAAUGUGCAGAUUGCUGUCCUUGAAAAACACUGCCUGAUGCUUUGUGUACACCCACACAGUGCCCCACCACCAAUGACUGGGUUUUUCUGUAGUGCAGUGAAAGGAUUUUUGAAGUUCAUUUUGUAUGCCUGCAGUCAAUUUGUGCUGUAUGAGAUUCUUGAAAGACUAAAUCCAUACUAACAUAACAGCCAUAAAAAGUUUUGGAAAGUGCAGUUAAAAGAUAGAUGUAUGAGAUGGGUAUUAAAUAAAUCUAUCUGGGUUUUUUUAAACCCGUAAUUUGGAAUUGUGUCAACAAACUGCAUAAUAUUUUACAUCAGUGGGAAAGAAAAGAGGAAGGGAAAGGGAGCCUUUCCUUUAGAAAAUUCCAUCAAAAUAAUAAAUGUCAAACAUUGCAAAAGUUCAAAUAUCUGCUCCCCCAAAACAGGAUAUGCAGCCUGGGAAGUUUUUAAUUACAUGCUAUAUUGCCUGAAGAAUUAGUGUUUUGGCUUGGGCUGCAAGGAGCUGUCUGUAGUAGAUUCACCUUCCUUGGUGCAAAUGACAUUUUAUACAGAGAAAAGAAACUUGUAGAUAUAGCAGUAGAACAGGACAACGCAAAAACACUAAUGGAAAGAACUGGGCAGGGAGAAUAAUCUCAGCAUUUAAGAAGAUAACCCAAGUCACAGUGCCCUGUUUAAAUGUACAGCACUGCAUUUUAUUACAAAAGUACACUGGUCAUCUCCCCAUGUUCUGUAUGCAAGAGUAUGGAAAGCUUCAGUCAAUUAAUUAUAAAUUAAAAGCGCAGGUCUGUGAACUGCUCCUCAAUGUAUUUUUCACUUAUUUUUACAUUUCCCUAUGCCAUGCAAGACUCACCACCACAAUGGGAAGAACACUUAAAAAAAAUCCCAAUGCUUAAACAGUAAAUUAAGUGUUUUUAUGGAACUGGGAAAGGAGUUUUUUCUGAUGGAAAACCAGCUGAUGUCCAUGACUUGAGAUCUUUGUUUAUGUUUUAGAUAAAGGCUGAGGUCAGAGUAACACUCAAGAACAAUGACCAGCCUGACAGCUGGUUUCUUAGGUUAUGGGAAGGCUGUAGCUAAUCACUGAACAUGUGUGUCAAAUUAAGCAACAAACACCAAAAAGAAAACUCCAAAUGAAAUAUUUUCCCAGUUUUCUAAUCUAAUACUGCUCAUCUGAUAUGUAAAAUACAGCUGUCCUUCAAUUGACUUCCUUUGUUCCAGGAACAGGUUAACAGUGAAACACAUCAUCCAGAUAACUCUCUUUUGGGUACAGAUGGAAGAACACCCAGCUCUCAAAACUUCCAUCUCCUGGCUGACACAGCAACCUGAUACAAAUCUCACCUCUGAUCCAAAAGCAAAUCAUCCUCUGCCUCCCUGGUGAUAACAGAAGUGCCCAUCUUCCCUCACGCAAGACUUCAGAGAAAUUUCCGUGGUUUUCAGGUAUUAGUCACUACAGAAUCAUUACAGAAAGCUGCAUCAUCAGCUCGACAGAAAUGUAGGAGGGAGCAGCAUUCAAAGAUAAAUCACUGUCCCCCCUCCAGGCUCUGUCAAGAUAAGUUUAAAGCCUCCAUCCCCUCCCACACCUGACAUUCCUAACUCCAGUCACAGAUUACUUGUACAGAGGAGGCACAAAGGUAACCUUAGCAAAAUCCUGAGCUGGAGGAGAACUGCAGAGCACUUGGGGAGAGGAAGGGCUGCCUUCUGCUGGAAAGGCAGGGGAAGAUGUCGGAGGCACCGGUGACAAAUUGCCGGGGCUCAGGUUCUGAGGUGGGGACGCUCUGGUCACUCUGACCCAGCCUGACAUCAUCCCUGCCCGGCCCCAUCCCUGGCACACCAGGCACCCAUGGAGGAGUAAGGAAAGAAAGGAUUCCUCCACUGGAAAUGGGAAGGGGCAUUUCCCUGAAUCCCUGAAAGCUUUUCCCCCCGAGUGCCUGCAGCAGCAGUGCUGUGGGGUGCCACAAAGCCCCGGCUGAGGGAUGGCGGGCACAGGCCCAGAGCCAGAUCAGCUUCAUGUCGAGGAGCUGUUCUGCAUCCGUGGAGUUGAAAGGGUUUAUGGCUCAUAAAAAGAACUGACAAGCUGUAUUUCAUGAGGAUUCCUUGCUUAGAGCUGUUCUCCAUGCCAAAGCACAGUUUUUGGAGAAGCAAUGUUAUUAAUCUGACAACGUGCCAUGGAAGCUCUCUGUCACCUUGUCCUAAAACAAAAACUCCAGUGUCUCCACUGCUGCUGAGCAGUUGCCUCUGCGUUUGGGCAAGUGCUGAGGACACAGGAGGCUGACCAAGGCAGGAAAUAACAGAAUCCACAUUCAGGAAAAGACACCUCAUGUUUUGCAGCUUUGUGGACUAUCCAGUGGAGGUAACAACAGGACAAUACUGAGAAAAUAACACUGAAAUAUGGAAAAGGAGUAAUGGCAGGAGUCUGGAAUGGGCCCUCAUUUGAACCUGCACUGCAGCACUUUUCAGCAUUUGUAUCACAUGAGCCUAAGGAAAACAGCCUUCAAUUUAUCCUGCAUGCUGACCUUUGCCUCUGGCCUUGAGGGGCCAAGUUGUUGUACCUGCUAUUAAAGAAGUCAUGGCAUCUUAAAAUAGAAUUAAGAGCAGAUUGCCAACGUGCUUUUUUUUCCCUGCUGUUGUCAGUGACCUACAAGAUCCAUUUAUAAAUACUGCUCACUAGUUUCUCCAGGCCCUUACUCACCCGAGUGGAAAGGCCAAGGACUGUUUCUGCUGCAGCACAGAUGAAGAAAAUUAUUUCCACCCAGAGAAGAGGGCAGUGACCUGUUUUGCUCUUAUAUAGCCUACUGGUGUCUGUGCAGAGCUUCCUUGAUUGUCCUUGAUUAAGAUCUCAAAUCUGUUUCCAGGAAGGGUAGGAUUAAAAUGCAAAAUCAAGAAGGGCAGCUGGAUAAGUUCAUUCGAGUUUGAAGCUUGAGCGUAUUGUGCUACCAAGGCACAACAACCAUUCAGGGAAGAUUGAGUGUUAUCCAUCUAAAAUGUUAUUUCCUGCAUUAUUUCUAUGUUCUCUUUUCCUUAUUUCCAGGAUAUCAAUGAUCAAGGUCUGGUUUCCCCACUUGUGGGACAGUUUGGAAUGUACCAGCCAUGGAGUCCACUCUCCCUGAUGGCCCUCAGCAUCUUCAAGGGCUCAAAUCCAGAGGAACCUUCCUGUGAUACCUCUGGCACUGACACCAUCUCCCUGCUCAGGAGAUCUAGAGCUCCUCUUGGAACGUAUUUUCUUCUUCAGAUGAGGUGUUCUGGCCCUGUUUGCAACUGCAGAAAACCAGAACCAAUCUCUUGUAGGUUGUGCUGAGCUCCCACCUCAGACUGGGCACCUUCCCUCUGUGAGGGUGUAAAAUGCCAGAAACAAAGCCCCCCUUCAGCUCCUGUGUCCCUGCUUGCCCCACAUGGAACUGUGCAGGAUGGAACCCACAACUUCUCUCGGGUCCCUGAGCUCUCAAUGCCUCCCUGAAAAAUCAGCCCAGCAACCAGCAAGGACCACAGGAAGAAAAUCAGCAUGACCAAGGAGUCAUCCAGCCCUAGGGCAGCACAGGUUGAUGGAACUUGAGGGACAAUUCAAUCUUCAUUCUUUGGUUUGCUGCUCCCAGCUAGAGCAGGAGCCUGUCUGUGAGAGCUGCCUUCAGGGGCACGGCUCCUUUUAUCAGCUGGGCACUGCACCCGGUGCCACCUGCUUGUGACAAACCUGGACAGGAGGAGGUUCUGCCCUGGGCCUUGCCUGGCACUGCUCUGGAGUGACCAGCAGUCCUGGUGCUGCAUCUCCAUGGAUAAGGACACCAAAGUGAGUGCAGAACGUGGACAAAGCCCACGGUAAUUACUCAGGGCCUGAUCCUCAGUAAGGACACCUUAGCUGUAGGAACCGCUUUUGUUGUGAAAUUCCAUUAUUCCAUGAGAUUUCUUUUGCAGUGAGGUCCUGAUCCCAGCUUCUGCAUGAAGUGGAAACAGAUGAAGUUGCAGGAUGGUCUGAUACACAUUUUGCCUGUUUAAUGAGCUUGGGAUUUUUAAUAGCUAAUGCACUGCAGUGUGUUUUGGCUGAGUCCCUAAGAUGUUUCAAAGCCCAAUUAUCUCCUGCAAGGUCAGUAGGCACUUAUUCUUAAGGGCCCAUGAGUCAAUAUAUGUUUGCAUUCUAUGGUCCCUUUGAUGUUUUAAUGUUUGUUAUAAAAAUUGCCACAGUGAUUCAUUUGCAUGUAUUUCUUCUUUGUUUGGAAGGGAAUCGCUUGGAGUGGCUAUUUUAAGGGUUGUUAAGUGGAACAACCUAAGUGUGAACACUCUGAAAAGAUAAAUGGAAACAUUUAA